AACGAACGCUGGCGGCAGGCUUAAUACAUGCAAGUCGAGCGGGCACUUCGGUGUCAGCGGCGCACGGGUGCGUAACGCGUGGGAACAUGCCUUUAGGUACGGAACAACCAAGGGAAACUUUGGCUAAUACCGUAUAAUAUCUCUGGAUCAAAGAUUUAUCGCCUAAAGAUUGGCCCGCGUUAGAUUAGGUAGUUGGUGGGGUAAUGGCCUACCAAGCCGACGAUCUAUAGGGGGUCUGAGAGGAUGAUCCCCCACACUGGAACUGAGACACGGUCCAGACUCCUACGGGAGGCAGCAGUAAGGAAUAUUGGACAAUGGGCGAAAGCCUGAUCCAGCCAUGCCGCGUGAGUGAUGAAGGCCUUAGGGUUGUAAAGCUCUUUUAGAUGGGAAGAUAAUGACGGUACCAUCAGAAUAAGCCCCGGCUAAAUUCGUG
rnacentral:rRNA from 1 species